UACGUAGGGUGCAAGCGUUGUCCGGAAUUAUUGGGCGUAAAGAGCUCGUAGGCGGUUGUCGCGUCGAAUGUGAAAACCCGGGGCUCAACCCCGGGCCUGCAUUCGAUACGGGCAGACUAGAGUUCGGUAGGGGAGUCUGGAAUUCCUGGUGUAGCGGUGAAAUGCGCAGAUAUCAGGAGGAACGACCGGUGGCGAAGGCGGUUCUCUGGGCAUUACCUGACGCUGAGGAGCGAAAGUGUGGGGAGCGAACAGG
rnacentral:rRNA from 1 species